rnacentral:lncRNA from 1 species
GAUCGGUUAAAUCAAUUUUCAAACUUCAACAAUCAACAUCACACAAAUUCAACAAUCAAGAGUACACAAAUUCAACAAUCAACAGCAAAUCACAAAUAUUUACUUAUCUUUUACAGUUUACUCAAGUUCAACUGUGAAUGGCUGGAAGCGCGACACAAAGACUCGGAGAGGACUAAGGGCUGUGGAAUAAGCACGACCAAAUUGCCGACUGCCCGACGAUGC